rnacentral:rRNA from 1 species
GAUCCUCGUUUAACCUUACUUUAAUAAUAUAUUUAUAUACCAUUGUUUAACUAAAUUUAUAUAUAAAUUUCUGUUCAAUCAAAAUAAUUUUCUAAUAAUUCAAAUCAAGGUGUAAUUUUAUUAAAGCUAAUAAAUUAGUUACUUUCUUUUAAAGAACUUUUAAUAAUCAAAGCAAACCCCAAUAUUAAAAGAAGGAUUUAUUUGUAAAAAAAUAUUAGUAAGUUUUUUUGACAUAUAAAUUAAAUGUGUACAUACCGCCCGUCGCUCGCGGGA